GGGGAUGUAGCUCAAUGGUAGAGCACUUGCCUAGCAUGCAAACAACCCUA
rnacentral:tRNA from 1 species